CUGCAUUUCGCGCUUCAGCUCGGUGAGCUGGUGGCUGCUGGUCUGGAUGUCCUGGCUGCUGGAGGUGACCUGCCGGUUGACUUCUUCGAUCUUGACUUCAUACCACUGCUCAACCUCCCUGCGGUUCUUCUCAAUGAUCUGCUCGUACUCAUUUCUCAGGUCAUUGAGAAUCUUUGUCAAGUCUUCUCCGGGAGCAGCAUUGACC
rnacentral:lncRNA from 1 species